UGUGGCUUGUCCACUUGUCGGGGGCUCCGGCGCCAGCGCCACACACAUGUGCUGUGAGCGCCUGAGCCAUGGUGGCUGCA
rnacentral:pre_miRNA from 1 species